rnacentral:rRNA from 1 species
UACGAAGGGUGCAAACGUUGCUCGGAAUUAUUGGGCGUAAAGCGCACGUAGGCGGCUUGGCAAGUCGGAUGUGAAAUCCCUCGGCUCAACCAAGGAAGUGCAUCCGAAACUGCCGAGCUUGAGUACUUAAGAGGAUCGCGGAAUUCCCGGUGUAGAGGUGAAAUUCGUAGAUAUCAGGAGGAACACCGGUGGCGAAGGCGGGUCUCUGGGCCGAUACUGACGCUGAGGAGCGAAAUCGUGGGGAGCGAACAGG